UGGUGCAGGAGGGGGAGGGGGAGGGGGAGGGGAAGGAGUAGGACCAGCCCUACUGGGAGGAGGCCUGAGAUUAGCAGGCGGUUCAUGGGGAAGCGGUUCUGCCCUUCCAGGGGGAGGCUUCAGAAAAGGGUUGCUGCCUGUCCUUCCAGGGGGAGGCUUCAGAAAAGGGUUGCUGCCUGUCCUUCCUGGUGGAGGUGGUACAAGUAUGUUCAUCUUGUUGUCAGUAGAGAAUUUGGCAGCACCACUAACAACUCCUAACGACAGGCUUUCAUCUAACGAUACAUUCUGAGCAUCAGAGUUAU
rnacentral:lncRNA from 1 species